rnacentral:rRNA from 1 species
GACGAACGCUGGCGGCGUGCUUAACACAUGCAAGUCGAACGGAAAGGCCCUGCUUUUGUGGGGUGCUCGAGUGCCGAACGGGUGAGUAACACGUGAGUAACCUGCCCUUGACUUUGUGAUAUCUUCAGGAAACUGGGGCUAAUACCGGAUAGGAGCUCCUGCUGCAUGUUGGGGGUUGGAAAGUUUCGGCGGUUGGGGAUGGACUCGCGGCUUAUCAGCUUGUUGGUGGGGUAGUUGCUUACCAAGGCUUCGACGGGUAGCCGGCCUGAGAGGGUGACCGGCGACAAUGGGACUGCGGUACGGAGCAGACGCCUACGGGACGCAGCAGUGGGGAAUAUUGCACAAUGGCCGGGAGCCUGAUGCGGCAACGCCGCGUGCGGGAUAACGGCCUUCGGGUGGUGAACCGCUUUCGCCUGUGACGAAGAGUGCGUGACGGUAAUGGGUAAGGAAGCACCGGCUAACUACGUG